UGUCUCAGAUGGUAAAGAAUCUGCCUGUAAGGCAGGAGACCCAGGUUCAAUCCCUGG
rnacentral:tRNA from 1 species